rnacentral:lncRNA from 1 species
CUGGAAAUUUCAGACAGUAACGAAGUACAUUCUAGUUGCUGCCCAACAACUUUGAGUAUGAAUCUUGCUUGAUGAGCUGUCCCUAAGACCAAUUGCAAGUGGGUACUUUUUUGAACAAGGCUUCGGAUCAUUAAUCACCGUGCAGCAGAAUCAAACAACAGAGGCAACAUCAGUGUGUGAACCACAGAUAUCUCUUUUGUCUGAGUACUUGAAGAACUGGAGAAGAUAAUGUCUCAGAUGUACAUGACUCCUGUUAUUUUGAGCUGAUCAGUGCCAUGGUCUAGAUUCAAUAUGAUGUUCAGGACCACUGGAAGCUGGCUCAGAGACAUCAGAUAAGGGAUGCAUCAGGAGAGAAGACUGGAGGAAAUACAGUAGUGGAAAUACAGCUGUGUUACUUGUGCAAGUAAUCAGGUAC